GUCCAGCUGGUUGAUAAGUACUCCCUACUUAAUUGCCACCAGAAUCUCAAACCAACUGCUGAUGCAAGCAGGAUGGGAACCUGCUGCCGAACAUGCUACUAGUCUAUCCUAUCCCGUCAACGAGCAAGCCGCGUCGUCUAUCUCGCUCUCCGCCCUCUUCCCCGUUUCAUCCGCACUUGAGCAGCUCUUCGAUCCAUCUCCAGUCAUAUAGAUGGGACAUCCAAGCUAGUCACUCGUAUAAGGAUAUAGAUAAAGAGUACCAUGGAGAACAUGGGGUUACAACAUGUGCGGGUGUUUCCUCUCACGGUGUUAAGAGAUAUUACAAGUAAUUUUUCCGAGGAGCGUGUAAUUGGACAUGGUGCAUCUGGAGUAGUUUAUAAGGGAGUACUUGAUAAUGGGGAAGUGAUUGCUGUGAAGAAACUUAACAACCCAUAUCAUUCAUCCGGGGAGAAACUUGGUAAUGGAGAAGCCCAAUUUCAUAAUGAGCUUAUGAAUCUUAUUGGGGUCCAACAUCAAAAUAUUAUACGGUUAGUUGGCUACUGCUAUGAAAUUCAGAAUAUAGUUACUGAGUAUGACGGAAAACGUGUACUCGCUUCGGUGGAAGAAAGAGUUCUCUGCUUAGAAUACAUGCCGUGUGGAAGCCUCAAGGAUCACAUUUCUGAUGAAUCAUGCGGACUUCAAUGGCAUGAACGUUACACCAUAAUUAAAGGAAUUUGUGAAGGUUUAAAGUACCUUCAUACUGGAUCUGGAAAUCCAAUUUACCAUCUGGACUUGAAACCCGAAAAUAUAUUGCUCGACAUGAACAAGAUACCAAAAAUUGGAGAUUUUGGUAUAUCAAGACUCCCUGCAGGUUCAAUGCAAACCUUUGUCACACAAAAAAUUUCAGGAACACUUGGAUACAUGCCACCAGAAUACCUCUUUAAGAAGCAAAUCUCACCGAAGUUUGACAUAUUCAGCUUGGGUGUUAUAAUGAUACACUUAAUAGCUGCGCAAGAGGGAAACCAGGAUUGUCCAUAUAUGCCUUCUGAGAAAUUCAUUGAGCGUGUACAUAGAAACUGGAAAAAACGGGUGCAGGCAACAGAAUCAUCACAUAUAUUAGAGCAAGUUAGGACAUGCACCGAAAUAGCGUUAAGGUGUGUGGAGUUCCAGCGAGAGAAAAGGCCUAAUAUAACUGAGAUUGUUGAUGAACUGAAUAAGAUUGAUGUUGACAAAUGUUCGGAUAAGAACAUGGAAGAAGAGGAGCACACAACUCUGGAAAAUAAACCUGAGAUCGAAAUGGAAAAGAAAGAGAGGUCAGAACAUUCGGAGGAAAAGAUGAACGGGCUAGUCGAUAGCAGAUACGCGAGAGCCAUGAGCUCCCUGUCCGAGUUCCCCAAGCUGCUGCUUCAGUUCCUCGGCAAUGAUUACAACAUCCAUGCAGAUGGCAAGGAAGACCUACAGUACCUCUACAUGGAGCUAGAGUUCGUCCAAGCUGCCCUCCUGGAUGUGGCUGACAUGCCACAGGCUCAGGUGCAUGAUGUGUUUAAGCUCUGGGCCGAAACACUAAGGAGCGUCACAUAUGAGAUGGAAGAUAUUUUUGAUUCCAUGGUGUUGCGCUUCCAUGGGUUCGGGCAAGGCUUGGAUCUUCAUGAGAUCGGGCAAAGGAUCAACAAUGUCAUUGCAAAGGUCCAAGAAAUGAACGACAUAAGUCCUAGCUACAAUCUCAAAAAUUUUGCUGACCGAAUUGCCACAUCUACCGCUGACCCUCGCUUAUCGGCUCUAAACAAAGAUCUGAAAGAGAUGGUUGGCAUUGAAGUUUCAACGGACGAGGUAAUAAGGAAGCUGGCACAUGCCAUCAAUGGUGUUUCGAAGCAGCUAAAUAUAGUCUCCAUUGUUGGAAUGGCAGGAAUGGGCAAGACAACUCUUGCCAGGGCAGUGUACCAAAGGGUUCAAGAGCAAUUUGAUUGCACUGCUUUUGUUUCUGUAUCACUGCAUCCCAACAUUAAGAAAGUUCUCAUGGAAAUUCUUUAUCAAAUUGACAAGGAAAAAUAUAAUGACGCCAAUACAGCACAAUUUGAAGGAAGGCUGCCCAUAGAAGAACUCCGGGUACUACUUGCGAACAAGAGGUACUUCAUCGUUAUAGAUGAUAUAUGGGAUGUACAAUCAUGGGAAAUAAUCAAAUCUGUUCUAAUAGACAUGAGAAAUGGAAGUAAUGUAGUCACAACAACUCGACUUUUUGAAGUUGCUGAAAAGGCAGGUGACGUUUACAAGCUAAAAGCAAUUUCUCAUCGGCACUCCAAAGAACUAUUCAAUACAAGAUUAUUUGGUGCAAAAGGAAAAGGCCCUGAGAUCCCUGAAGAACUUUUACAGAAAUGUGGUGGUGUGCCAUUAGCAAUAAUUACAAUGGCUAGUUUGUUGGCUAAUAAACCAAGAGAUGAUUGGUCGAAGGUGUACAACCAAAUUGGUUUUGGCUAUGGAGGCAAUGAAGAUGUGGGCCACAUGAGAAAGACACUACUUCUUAGCUACUACAAUCUGCCUUCUCAUCUCAAGCCUUGCUUAUUGCAUCUUAACAAUUUUCCAGCAGAUUAUUCAAUCAGGAAAGAAACCUUGAUUUGGAUGUGGGUUGCCGAAGGUUUUGUGCAUGGAAAACUAGGAAUAGGGUUAUUUAAGCUCGGAGAGGGAUAUUUCAAUGAGCUCAUCAAUAGAAGCUUGAUCAUACCGGUCGAGGACUCGUCGCGUUGCAUCAAUCUGGCACGAAGUCAGGUGCCAGAUUGGAUAGGGAACCUGACAUCCCUAGAAGAACUAAGGCUGGACAACGUUGGCACAUCCGUAAACUUCGUGAUAGAGCUGGGAAAGCUGAAAGAGCUCAGGGAGCUCGACAUUUGGAUACAAGAGCUCGACGAGAUCUCGAAUGAAGCAUUGGUGAAGUCCCUCGGUGGUCUAGUUAACAUGGAAGUCCUACGAGUGAUGAGUAGUUGGCAGGGUGAGGAGGCCAGCUGGGACAACUAUGUGCCGCCAAUACAACUCCGUGAGUUCCACCUAACUAUCGCUUUCCCUGGACUGCCAAAGUGGAUUAAUGCCUCCUCUGUUCCGAAUCUCUCACACCUGUCUAUGGAUGUGAAGGCUAUGAAUGAGCAGGAUAUGGAUAUCAUUGGGUAUUUACCAGAGCUCAUUGGUCUCGAGCUGCUGCUCCCGCCGGAUGUCUUCCUUAGCAUCAAGGGCGACGGUUUGUUCCCCAAGUUGAGGUGCUUUGACACGCCCGCACCAUUCAGAUUCCUACCAGGAGCUAUGCCGGCCCUGGAACUCCUUCACUUCAAAGUCGACGUCCGUGCUUUGAAGCGUGUCGGCUUCGCCUUGGACGACUUCGCUACCUUGAAGAAUCUACUUCGGCUUCGGAGUGUGGAAGUUGAAAUUGACUCUAGGGGUGCCCGUCCAGUGCACGCGACAGGGGUUGAGGAAGCCGUGAAGCGGACAGUAGACAAUCAUCCCAACAAUCCGACCGCUAGUAUCAGGAGAACCUGAUACAUAGUAAACUGGCUCCUGUGAUGGACCCAAUUCAGAGCAGACAUAAGAAGAGGCCCCUAACCUUGAACCAUCUCCUAUAUAUGGAUCUGUCACUUGAUUUGUAUGAGUGUUGGCUACCUAGCGGCUGUCGAUUUCUUGUUUCGGGACUGUCCUAAAAGUUAGAUGGAUUGAGUUACUGUGUGUCAGCUAUAUGACCCCGUUUGGGAGCUAUGUAUAUAUUCUUUUACAUGUAAAUAUGUUGUAUAACACUUCUGCUUCGGUACACCCCCUAAACACAAAGACGGCUCAAAUUAA